rnacentral:rRNA from 1 species
UACGAAGGGGGCGAGCGUUGUUCGGAAUUACUGGGCGUAAAGGGCGCGCAGGCGUCCUCUUGAAGUCAGAUGUGAAAGCCCCGGGCUCAACCUGGGAAUGGCAUUUGAUACUCGAGGGCUUGAGUACGGGAGAGGAGAGUGGAAUUCCCAGUGUAGAGGUGAAAUUCGUAGAUAUUGGGAAGAACACCGGUGGCGAAGGCGGCUCUCUGGACCGUAACUGACGCUGAGGCGCGAAAGCGUGGGGAGCAAACAGG